GCCCCACCGUGCUGAUGCCCGCACCCCACUCCCCAGCUCACGUGCUGAAGCUCCACUCCUUCCUCCACGAGAGCGCCAGGCCCCCCCGGCCCAUCUUGGAGGCGCCCAAGCUCCCUGGACGAGGAGGACAGGACAGUCCCCGCCCCGAGGACAGAGGCGAGCCCAGAACCCUCGGUCCCAUGGGCAGCCCUCGGCCGAAAGGGAGCGAGCCUCCAAGACCCCUGACAGGAACGGGACGGCCCCCGUGCUCCCCACAGUGAGCCUGCACCCCUCCCCAGCCUCCAGCACCAAGACGUCCCGGGACGACCUGGAGCGAAAGGAGGGCGGUGGGGAGCCCUUCCUCUGUACGCUUUCCGCACUCAGAUAAACCGCCGCAUGCUUGUC
rnacentral:lncRNA from 1 species